rnacentral:rRNA from 1 species
GAUGAACGCUGGCGGAGUGCCUAAUACAUGCAAGUCGAGCGGCAGCGCGAGUAGUUUACUACUUGGCGGCGAGCGGCGGACGGCUGAGUAACGCGUGGGAACGUGCCCCAAAGUGAGGAAUAACUGCCCGAAAGGGUAGCUAAUACCGCAUAUGGUCUUCGGAUUAAAGGAUUUAUCCGCUUUGGGAGCGGCCCGCGUCAGAUUAGGUUGUUGGUGAGGUAAAGGCUCACCAAGCCGACGAUCUGUAGCUGGUCUGAGAGGAUGAUCAGCCAGACUGGGACUGAGACACGGCCCAGACUCCUACGGGAGGCAGCAGUAAGGAAUCUUCCACAAUGGACGAAAGUCUGAUGGAGCAACUCCGCGUGCAGGAUGAAGGCCUUCGGGUUGUAAACUGCUUUUAUGAGUGAAGAAUAUGACGGUAACUCAUGAAUAAGGGUCGGCUAACUACGUGCCAGCCGCCGCCGUAA